rnacentral:rRNA from 1 species
UACGUAGGGCGCAAGCGUUAUCCGGAAUUAUUGGGCGUAAAGAGCUCGUAGGCGGUUUGUCGCGUCUGCCGUGAAAGUCCGGGGCUCAACUCCGGAUCUGCGGUGGGUACGGGCAGACUAGAGUGAUGUAGGGGAGACUGGAAUUCCUGGUGUAGCGGUGAAAUGCGCAGAUAUCAGGAGGAACACCGGUGGCGAAGGCGGCAUCCUGGACCGGCAUUGACGCUGAGGCGCGAAAGCCAGGGGAGCAAACGGG